rnacentral:lncRNA from 1 species
UGAUUCUUUGGAGGCAAGCAAAUGAACACAUUUAUACUAAAAAUGAGAUUAAUUAUAUCAAAAUGGUUGGUGUGUGUGUAUUAUAUUAUUAAUGCAAGUCGGCUUCCAACAUGGGGCAGUAGCUUAUUCUGAUGUAUAACUCUGUAUAUAUUCAGAUCAUACACUAAUUCUGGUUUGACCAAAGAGAUUGGGAGAAAAAAAAUAAAAGCCAAAAAGAGAAAGUAAACUAAAGGUGGGAGCAAGCAUUCAAAUAAUGCAGCCGGAAAGGAAACGAGAUCAGAUGUCUGUGUGGCGAUGGGCGAUGAGCGAUGGGUGUUUGCUUAAUAGAAAUCUGAUACUUGAUAAUUAGUCAAAAGAACAACUUAAAGGCGUUUCUGUCAAUAACCUUUCGGCAGGAAAAGGCGAGUAAAGACAAGCUGGAUAUUCCCUUGAUUUAUAUUCUAACUUAAGAUUCUUUCCUCCAUCACAUGAUCAAUCCCAGCUAUUUCUAUCAGAAACAAAGUCAAUCUCCAAGAGCUUUCAAUAAACAAAACGUUGUUGUUUUUGCAAGUUUACUGAAC